rnacentral:rRNA from 1 species
UACGUAGGGGGCAAGCGUUGUCCGGAAUCAUUGGGCGUAAAGAGCGCGUAGGCGGUCCGGUAAGUCGGUUGUGAAAACUGGGGGCUCAACCCUCAGAGGCCGACCGAUACUGCUGGGCUAGAGUCCGGAAGAGGCGAGUGGAAUUCCUGGUGUAGCGGUGAAAUGCGCAGAUAUCAGGAAGAACACCCGUGGCGAAGGCGGCUCUCUGGGACGGUACUGACGCUGAGACGCGAAAGCGUGGGGAGCGAACAGG